CUCCCAAUAAACGUGUGCGGAAGGAUCCUGUUGUGGCGUCGUUCUUGCUGGAGAGUUGGAUGCUCACAUGUGAUCAUUGUAUUUAUUUGAAUCUCCAUCAGAAAUGGAGCUCCAAUUUCAUUCUUUUGUGUGUGGAUAGCCAGUUGUCUAGCACCAUAUAUUAAAGAAAACAAGAUACGUGGGAAGGUGAGGAGUAUGUGUUCGGUGGCACAGAAGCCUAAUAUCUGAGAAAAGAUGUUCAGUUGAGAACAACAAGCACUUCUGCAUCAAGCUGACAUUGAAGAGCCAUGUCUUCAUUCUCACACUCACUGGCUUUUGCGAUGACCCCAUCCCCUACCAUACCAUACAAAGAUGUCACCUUAGACAUCCUAUCCAAUUAAGCUUCAUCUCACACAGAACAAUCAAGUUUUCUUAUUUCCAAUAGGCUUCAGGCAAAUGUGUACAGGAGCAUUAGUAGAUCAGUAGUUCCACAUGACUUGACUGUCAUUCCCAUGAGACACUGUGUAAAUGCCUGGCUUGGAACCUCUUGGAAAUUAAGGUGUUAACAAACACAGCGCACAGAGCUGAAGUUCAGAAAUGAUUACCUGGAAGAACUAUGGCCACUGAAUCCCAGUCUCCUAAGAAGAACUAAACCACUACAUGCCAUACUGGGGCCCAAACUCAUCAUCCUUCUCUGGAGAUUGACAUCACUAGAGAAGCAAGCAAGAUUCAGACGGCUACUGACUUGUCUCUUUCAAGGGUUUAGGACAGAAGCUAGACCGUAUUUUUCAUCAAGACAAUACAAAAAGGCAAUGUGGCAGAUCUGAAC